rnacentral:rRNA from 1 species
CCUACGGGAGGCAGCAGUGGGGAAUUUUGGACAAUGGGCGCAAGCCUGAUCCAGCAAUGCCGCGUGAGUGAAGAAGGCCUUCGGGUUGUAAAGCUCUUUUGUCAGGGAAGAAACGGUGGGGAAUAAUACUUCCUGCUAAUGACGGUACCUGAAGAAUAAGCACCGGCUAACUACGUGCCAGCAGCCGCGGUAAUACGUAGGGUGCAAGCGUUAAUCGGAAUUACUGGGCGUAAAGCGUGCGCAGGCGGUUGUGCAAGACAGAUGUGAAAUCCCCGGGCUCAACCUGGGAAUUGCAUUUGUGACUGCACGGCUAGAGUGUGUCAGAGGGGGGUAGAAUUCCACGUGUAGCAGUGAAAUGCGUAGAGAUGUGGAGGAAUACCGAUGGCGAAGGCAGCCCCCUGGGAUAACACUGACGCUCAUGCACGAAAGCGUGGGGAGCAAACAGGAUUAGAUACCCUGGUAGUCCACGCCCUAAACGAUGUCUACUAGUUGUCGGGUCUUAAUUGACUUGGUAACCGCNGCACGCGUGAGUAGACCGCCGUCGGAGGUACGGUCGCGAGAGUAAACGUACGAAGAAGUAGACGCGNGAGACGACGCCGACGGACGACGACGAGGGGAGGAGG